rnacentral:rRNA from 1 species
AUACGUAGGGGGCGAGCGUUGUCCGGAAUGAUUGGGCGUAAAGGGCGCGUAGGCGGCCCGGUAAGUCUGGAGUGAAAGUCCUGCUUUUAAGGUGGGAAUUGCUUUGGAUACUGUCGGGCUUGAGUGCAGGAGAGGUAAGUGGAAUUCCCAGUGUAGCGGUGAAAUGCGUAGAGACUGGGAGGAACACCAGUGGCGAGGGCGACUUACUGGACUGUAACUGACGCUGAGGCGAGAAAGUGUGGGGAGCAAACAGGAUUAGAUACCCUGGUAGUCCACUCUGUAAACGAUGAGCACUAGGUGGCGGCGUAGAAAUACGUCGGUGCCGCAGUUAACGCAAUAAGUGCUCCGCCUGGGGAGUACGCACGCAAGUGUGAAACUCAAAGGAAUUGACGGGG